UACGGGGGGGCAAGCGUUGUUCGAAUUACUGGGCGUAAAGGGCGCGUAGGCGGCCUGCUAAGCUGGACGUGAAAUCCCCCGGCUCAACCGGGGAACUGCGUCCGAUACUGGUGGGCUCGAAUCCGGGAGAGGGAUGUGGAAUUCCAGGUGUAGCGGUGAAAUGCGUAGAGAUCGGGUGAACACCAGGGGCGAAGGCGGCUCGCUGGGACGUAACUGACGCUGAGACGCGAAAGCGUGGGGAGCAAACAGG
rnacentral:rRNA from 1 species